CAACCUUGUGGUGCACCUAACCGCCCCCCCCCCAUUUUCGCCAUCAGAGAGGUCAUCCUGCACACACGAAACACGUAUCGUCUGCGGCCCUCCCCCUCUCGCCUCGCCACUCAUACGCAUAAACAGACAAGGCUCCACUGCAACACCAGCAGCGAUGGACUUGGUGCAGCUGCAGCGAAUCCUCAGCACGUACGAUGAGCGUGUGGUGAAAGUCUUUGUGAGCCACAUCCCGGAACUGGGGCUGCGCAAGAUCGAUGACUGCGUCCUCGAGUACAUGCUCAAGAUGCUGGAGGGGCAGACCUCGUCGGAGUCGUACCUGCCGGAGGAGAUCAUCGAGGAGACGAUGAAGCUGUACUUCCGCGAGUUCGACGUUUUCAGCGACUGCGAAGAAAAGCUGAACAAGAGCACCGCGGCCAUCUGCCAGCAGAUGCUCAAGGAAGGUAUCACGAAGAAGCCAAGCGAGGAGUCGAGCCGGCUCGCCAGCGCCGUCAACAUCGGCCGCCAGUACGAGGAGAGUCUGAAGCGGGCCACAAUGAUCAAGAGUGUCGGCAAGGUUACGACGGCGAACACGAACGAGGACUGGACGUGGGAGACGAAGCGCAGCGCAGCCAAGGACAUGCGCAAGAAGCGCAAGGAGGAUGAGAAGAAGGCGAUGCUCGCUGAGGAAUACGAGGAGUUCCUGCGCAAGCGUGGCAUCUCCAACACGGCGGCCGUGACGAAGAUUCAUCACAAGGGCGAGGGCACGAGCUACAGCACCGACAUCCGCUGCGAGGCCAUUCACAUCCAGCUCGGGAAGCAGGUGCUACUGGACGACACGGACCUAGUGCUGCUGACAGGGCACAAGUACGGCCUCAUCGGUCGCAACGGUGCGGGUAAAACGACACUGCUGCGUGCCCUGGCAGAGCGCGAGCUGGAGGGUGUGAGUCCGUUCAUGCAGAUUCUGCACGUAGAGCAGGAGAUCGUCGCGGGGGCAGAGACGCCACUGGAGGUUCUGCUGGCCACCGAUGUCGAGCGGGCGCAGCUGCUGCGCGAGGAGCAGGAGCUGCUGAAGCAGAACGACACGGAGGCCAACGCGCGGCUGAACGAGGUGUACGCUCGACUGGACGCAAUCGACGCCCACAGCGCCGAGGCGCGCGCGGCCACCAUCCUGCAUGGCUUGAGCUUCACGCAGGAUAUGAUGACCUCGCCGACCAAGCAGCUCUCCGGUGGUUGGCGCAUGCGUGUGGCGCUAGCACGCGCUCUCUUCGUCGAGCCCGACGUGCUGCUGCUGGAUGAGCCGACGAACCACCUCGAUCUGUUCGCCGUGCUCUGGCUGGAGCAGUUCCUGAGGGACUGGCAAAAGACGCUCAUUGUCGUCUCCCACUCCCGCACCUUUCUCAACAACGUCUGCUCCGAGAUCAUCCACCUCGUGGGCCACCAUCUGCACUACUACAAUGGCAACUAUGACCAGUUCGAGAUCACGCGGGUGGAGCAGGAGCGGCAGCAGAAGAAGCAGCACGCCGCCCAGGAGAAGCAGCGGGCGCACAUUCAGGCCUUCAUCGACAAGUUUCGCUACAACGCGAACCGGGCCAAGAUGGCGCAGUCGCGCAUCAAGGCGCUUGAGCGGAUGGAGAUGGUGGCCGACGUCGUCACCGACCCGCAGUUCGCCUUCACCUUUCCGGAUGCCGAGCCGGUGUCUGGCAGCUUCAUCGAGAUGGUGGACUGCGAGUUCGGCUACAAGCCCGGCGUUAGCCUCUUCAAGGACGUAAACAUGGGCAUCGACGAGAGCUCGCGCAUCGUUCUCGUCGGCGCGAACGGCGUCGGUAAGUCGACCUUCAUGAACGUGUGCACUGGCGCUCUUGAGCCGCGCAGUGGUACGGUGGUGCGCAACAAGAAGAUCCGUGUCGCCCACUUCGCGCAGCACAACAUGGAAAGCCUUACCCCGCAGCUGUCCUCCCUCGAGUUCCUCCGCUCCAAGUUCCCGCACAUGGAGGAUCAGCAACUGCGUGCGCACCUCGGCAGCAUGGGCCUGUCAGGGGAGCGCGCGCUGCAGCCGAUCUACACCCUCUCCGGUGGACAGAAAUCGCGUCUCGUGCUCGCCUGGAUCACGUUUCAGAAGCCGCACCUGCUGCUGCUCGAUGAGCCGACGAACCACCUCGAUAUCGACACGGUGAACGCCCUCAUCGAGGCGCUUCUAGCGUACAACGGCGGGCUGCUGGUCAUCUCACACGACGAGUACUUCAUUACGUCCCUGUGCGAUGACAUCUUCGUCUGCGAAGACAACACCGUGAAGAAGUUCGAUGGUGACUUCGCGGAGUACCGCAAGCACGUCAUGAAGAUGAUGAAGUGAAAGCAGCCAACGGCCGGGGGUGUGGGGAGGGUGGGGGGCGGACGCUUGACGCUUCAAGCAAGCGGUAAGGACCCCUCUACGGGUAUGGUUUGGCGGACUGGCUGGCAAGCUGAUGAUGACCACUGCGGGACUGAAUACGAAGCAAAGACCGCACACACACACACACACACGCACGCACGCACAUACGCUUCACGUGCGUGUUGCCUCUCGGUACGGCCACUGUAGGCCAAGCUGCUCCGCCGGGUGGUGUUGGCGGCUGAUGGUGCCGCGGCAACAUCGAGCGAAAACAGGUUUUAAGUGGGCAGCUAAAAAAAUAGAUAAGAGUGAGGGACGUAGUCGCCGACGGCGCACACGUUUUGGCAAGCGCGUCCACAGACGCGGACAAGGCAUGGCGGGAGAGGGAGAGGGAGAGGAAGAAGACAGUCGUGAGGCGUGGCCGUUGUAAGUGCCGCUGGUCCGGCUAUGGCAAGAUGUGUGUGUAUGGCGGACACGUGCUUCCUGUCGCCAUGCAAGCGCGCACGUAACUGGCCCCAUGCAUCAUGUCUGUCUUGCGCAUGUUUCGCUUCAGCUGCUGGAUCGCCUGCGGGUAGGGGCCGCUGGGAACGCCCGAUGAUGUUGCCUUUGUGGACAGAGGCACGCGCGCGCUCUAGCAGCACUCAUUGCACCCCCUCCCCCUCGUGCAGAGUGCAUGCCUCCCUCCCUCCCUCCCUCUCGCGCCCUGCCACCAAGCCUCCUUGUUGCUUUCAGACGACUGCUGCCGUUCCAUGCAUUCUUCAGAGCAUCUGCGAGUGUGGGGUUGCACGGCAGCUUCUCAUGCGCGCACCAGAUGCACGGCACAUUGAUCAGCCCAUCCUCUCACUCUGCUCCUCACACUGACAUGCGCGUGCACAAAACACCGAUAG
rnacentral:misc_RNA from 1 species